GGCUUUGUAGUGUAGUGGUUAUCACUUGAGAUUUUGAUAUGGUCACUACCAGUGAUCAGCAUGUUCUCAAAACCCAGGUUCGAACCCUGGCAAGGCCU